UUGCCUCAGUAACGGCGAGUGAAGCGGCAACAGCUCAAAUUUGAAAUCUGGCCUCCCCUGGGGGUCCGAGUUGUAAUUUGCAGAGGAUGCUUCGGGUGCGGCCGCGGCGUAAGUCCCCUGGAACGGGGCGUCGCAGAGGGUGAGAAUCCCGUCUUGCGCCGCCGGUGCGCGCCCGUGUGAAGCUCCUUCGACGAGUCGAGUUGUUUGGGAAUGCAGCUCUAAAUGGGUGGUAAAUUUCAUCUAAAGCUAAAUACCGGCUGGAGACCGAUAGCGCACAAGUAGAGUGAUCGAAAGGUUAAAAGCACCUUGAAAAGGGAGUUAAAUAGCACGUGAAAUUGUUGAAAGGGAAGCGCUUGCGACCAGACUCGGCCGCGGGGGCUCAGCGGGCACGCGUUGCCCGUGCGCUCCCCCGUGGUCGGGCCAGCGUCAGUUCUGGCGGUCGGUCAAAGGCCCCUGGAAGGUAACGCCCCUCGGGGCGUCUUAUAGCCAGGGGUGCAAUGCGGCCCGCCGGGACUGAGGAACGCGCUUCGGCUCGGACGCUGGCGUAAUGGUCGUAAGCGGCCCGUCUUGAAACACGGACCAAGGAGUCUAACAUCCACGCGAGUGUUCGGGUGUCAAACCCGUGCGCGCAGUGAAAGCGAACGGAGGUGAGAUCCCCCUCGCGGGGCGCAUCAUCGACCGAUCCUGAUGUCUUCGGAUGGAUUUGAGUAGGAGCGUGGCUGUUGGGACCCGAAAGAUGGUGAACUAUGCCUGAAUAGGGUGAAGCCAGAGGAAACUCUGGUGGAGGCUCGCAGCGGUUCUGACGUGC
rnacentral:rRNA from 1 species